rnacentral:rRNA from 2 species
GUUGACGUUACCUACAGAAGAAGCACUGGCUAACUCUGUGCCAGCAGCCGCGGUAAUACAGAGAGUGCAAGCGUUAAUCGGAAUUACUGGGCGUAAAGCGCGCGUAGGUGGAUACUUAAGUCGGAUGUGAAAGCCCUGGGCUUAACCUGGGAAUUGCACCCGAUACUGGGUAUCUCGAGUAUGGUAGAGGGAAGUGGAAUUUCCGGUGUAGCGGUGAAAUGCGUAGAUAUCGGAAAGAACACCAGUGGCGAAGGCGGCUUCCUGGACCAAUACUGACACUGAGGUGCGAAAGCGUGGGGAGCAAACAGGAUUAGAGACCCUGGUAGUCCACGCCGUCAACGAUGAGAACUAGCUGUUGGAGAGUUUACUUUCUAGUAGCGAAGCUAACGCGUUAAGUUCUCCGCCUGGGGAGUACGGCCGCAAGGUUAAAACUCAAAGAAAUUGACGGGGGCCCGCACAAGCGGUGGAGCAUGUGGUUUAAUUCGAUGCAACGCGAAAAACCUUACCUAC